GCAAUGUUAAGAGAAUGCUGGAGAGGAGUUAGAUGGAGAUGUUGAGCAAGUGGAUCUGGAGCAAGAAGCAGAGAAAGCUGGAGAGUAUGUUUUAGAUGGAGACGUUAAUCAAGUGGAUUUGAAGCAACGUUAAGAGAAUGCUGGAGAGGUGUUAGAUGGAGAUGUUGAGGUAAAACAUGUCUGGAGGGUUACUUGAGCAGAUCUACAUCCUUUUCUUGCACAGUUCUUCAGUUCAGAACAAAGAUCAUGAAUGAAAAGAACAAAAGAAAAAAGAAGCAUUCCAAUCGAUUAAAAAACUUUUUUUUUAGAUUUUAUAAACCAAAACUUUAAAUCAAAUGCCUUCGUUUACUUCCUUUUAGCUAACCUGAGAUGAAAGCUCAUGUGAGCUUUUCAGAUCACUUUUUUGUAUGGCAUCUGUCUGCCAACUUUCAAAUUUUCAACUUAUUCCCUAGAACCACUUGGCUAAUUUCAACCAAACUUGGCAUGAAGAAACCUUGUGUAAAUGGCAUUCAAAUAUGUUCGAAUGAAGGGCUAAGUCAUAUCUAAAAGGGGAAUGAUUUAUAAAUCAUAUUUUUAACAAAUCUUCUCAAAAAACAUUUGGUUGGAAAAGCUGAAACUUGUGUCGAAGCAUCCUCAGGUCAUGUAGAUUCAAGUUUGUUCAAAUCAUGUUCCCAGGGGGCAAGGUUGAUCCACAAUUGUAUAAUAUAAAUAAUAUAUAAAGACAAAUCUACCAAAAACUUUUUUUUUCAAAAACCAAUAGGCCAGACAAGCUGUAAAUUGUGUUGAAGUUUGAUUAAAUCAGUAUGCCGAAGGUUAGGGAGAGGCACCAUUGGGAGGGGGGCAAUUUUUACAUAAGAAUAUAU